rnacentral:rRNA from 1 species
UAGGGAAUAUUGGACAAUGGGGGCAACCCUGAUCCAGCCAUGCCGCGUGAGUGAAGAAGGCCCUCGGGUUGUAAAGCUCUUUUGUCCGGAAAGAAGAGCAUUCGGUGAAUACCCGGAUGUUCUGACGGUACCGGAAGAAUAAGCACCGGCUAACUUCGUGCCAGCAGCCGCGGUAAUACGAAGGGUGCAAGCGUUACUCGGAAUUACUGGGCGUAAAGCGUGCGUAGGUGGUUGUUUAAGUCUGAUGUGAAAGCCCUGGGCUCAACCUGGGAAUGGCAUUGGAAACUGGGCAGCUAGAGUGCGGUAGAGGGUAGUGGAAUUCCCGGUGUAGCAGUGAAAUGCGUAGAGAUCGGGAGGAACAUCCGUGGCGAAGGCGACUGCCUGGACCAGCACUGACACUGAGGCACGAAAGCGUGGGGAGCAAAC